rnacentral:rRNA from 1 species
AUUGAACGCUGGCGGCAGGCCUAACACAUGCAAGUCGAACGAGUGGCGGACGGGUGAGUAAUGUCUGGGAAACUGCCCGAUGGAGGGGGAUAACUACUGGAAACGGUAGCUAAUACCGCAUACCAUCGGAUGUGCCCAGAUGGGAUUGGCUAGUAGGUGGGGUGACGGCUCACCUAGACGACGAUCCCGAGCUGGUCUGCGAGGAUGACAAGCCACACUGGAACUGAGACACGGUCCAGACUCCUACGGUAGGCAACAGUGGGGAAUAUUGCGCAAUGGGCGCAAGCCUGAUGCAGCCAUGCGGCGGGUAUGAAGGAGGCCUUCGGGUUGUAAAGUGCGUUCGGCGAGGAGGCGUUACUCGCAGAAGAAGCACCGGCUAACUCCGUGCCAGCCGCCGCGGUAAUAC